rnacentral:rRNA from 1 species
AUGGAAGAAGGCAUCAAAGAAGCCGAGUCGAGCAAGAAGGCAGCAGCAGUCGAGAGCACAGCGACAAAAGUGGGCGCCAUGGCCGACGCGACGUUCGGGAGCAUCGGCGACGUGCUCAAGCUGCUGCCGACGUCGACGGUGAUCGUGUACGAGGUGCUCAACCCGAUCGUGACCAACGCCGGCGCGUGCAGCGUAGCCAACAGGGUGGUCACCGCGGUGCUCCUCGUGCUCUGCGCCUUCUCCUGCGCCUUCUCGGCCUUCACCGACAGCUUCGUCGGCGCCGACGGCAAGGUCAGGUACGGCCUCGUGACGCCCAGGGGCCUCCUGCCAUUCGGCGGCGGCGACGACGACGACACCGGGGCGAGGGACUUCUCCAAGUACAGGCUGCGUCCGGCGGACUUCGCGCACGCCUUCUUCUCGGUGGUCGUGUUCGCGGCGGUGGCGCUGCUGGCGGACGCCAACACGGUGGCGUGCUUCUACCCGGCGCUCAGGGAGCAGCAGAAGCAGGUGGUCAUGGCGCUGCCCGUCGUGGUCGGCGCCCUCGCGAGCGGCGUCUUCGUCGUGUUCCCCUCCAAGCGCCACUCGAUCGGGUACCCUCCGGCGAAGCCUGCUGCGAGCUCGCUGGCGUCGCAGUAG